rnacentral:rRNA from 1 species
UACGUAGGGCGCAAUCGUUGUCCGGAAUUAUUGGGCGUAAAGAGCUCGUAGGCGGCCUGUUGCGUCCGCUGUGAAAUCCCGGGGCUUAACCCCGGGUCUGCAGUGGAUACGGGCUGGCUAGAGGCAGGCAGGGGAGAACGGAAUUCCCGGUGUAGCGGUGAAAUGCGCAGAUAUCAGGAGGAACACCGGUGGCGAAGGCGGGUCUCUGGGCAGUAACUGACGCUGAGGAGCGAAAGCGUGGGGAGCGAACAGG